rnacentral:misc_RNA from 1 species
GUGAAUCAUCGAAUCUUUGAACGCAUAUUGCACUCUCUGGUAUUCCGGAGAGUAUGCCUAUUUGAGGGUCAUUUGAAAUAAUAUAGAUUCAUAGAUUUCUCGGAAUUUAAAAUGGGUGGUCCAUUUUUUGUGGUCGCCUAAAAUCCAAGACAAGCGAAUUUUCUUUGGUUCCGUGAUACUUGCAGUUAUCACGUGACUUAACAAGGAUUCAUCGGGCGUGCUAUGAAUUUUGCAAGAGAUAAAAAUUCCAU